rnacentral:rRNA from 1 species
AUGAUGGAGGGCGCCGCCCAGUUCCCGGCCGAGAUACGCCGGCUCCCCUCUUCUCGGGGCCAGCCCCUCCCCCGUGCCGGGUCGAGCCUCGGCUUGGAGGCCCUUGGGGCUGCCGUCGGUGCGGGAGUCCCGCGCGGCCAUGCGGGCUGGGGACCGAGCGGCGGGCCGGCCACCUGUGCCCUGUCCGCCCUGCUGCUGAGCCAUCCUUGUACCGUUGCACACAUCUUCGCACCACGCGGCCAGCCUCUGGUGCGCACCUCUGCUUUUACUAGCCGCGAACCACGAGCAUCACCUGUUUGGUGUUGCGCCUACGAGCGUGUUGGAGAAAUCUGUGUCCAGAGGGUGGCGAAGAUUGAUGCGGAGAGGAAGACGAUGGCGACAGAGAGCGUGUGUACUCCAGCCUGUUGGAUUUAUCACAGAUGCCCCACUAAUUUGGCUUGA